rnacentral:misc_RNA from 1 species
UGACAUAGUGCAUGAUUUUGCCCAGUAUAUUAGGAGGGAUGAAUGUUUUAGCAUGGAGGUUAGUAGCUCUGUUGAGUCAAGUAUGGAACCUGUCAGUAAAGAAGCACGUUACUCGAGGAUAGAGCUUGAAGGAAAAGGCUCAUUACCGGGCUACUUUUAUGAUGCAAAGAAACUACGCGGCCUCAUAGCUCAGUUCGAAGGAGGUUUUGUGUUCACUGCAGUGCUAUCUAGUUUUUUCAAUGAAUUAACUUGUUUGAGAUCUUUAGAUCUAAGCCAUUGUGACAUUGAAGAAAUCCCACCAACAAUAAGCCAAUUGAUACAUUUGAGGCAACUUGACUUGUCUUCUAAUGAUCAUCUGAAGUCGUUGCCUGAAACAUUGUGUAAAUUAUAUAAUUUGCAAACCUUAGAUGUUUUUGGUUGUUGGAAUUUGGCAAAGCUGCCCGAUGGUGUUGGAAAACUCGUUAACUUAAGACAUCUGCAUAAUCGAGGUACAGGCCAUAUUCUUAUGUCGAAAGAAAUUAGGAAAUUGAGCUGUCUUAGGACAUUAGAGUGGGUCGAUGUUUUUGAUGAUAGAGAAGCAUUCUCUCUUGGGGAUCUAGAAAGUCUGAACCUUCUUCAAGGAUUGCUUAUGUUAUCGGGCCUAGAAAAUGUGGACAACAUGGAUGAGGCUAAGAAAGCACAACUCAAGAAAAAGAAAGGAAUCAACAGAAUGCAAUUAGCUUUUAAUGAAAGGGAAGGGGAAGGGAGAAUAUGUCACGAUGAAGAAUUACUUGAAGUCUUAGAGCCACACACUAAUUUGGAGACUUUAGGAAUACGUGGCUAUGAAGGCAUAGUUUUUCCGGAUUGGAUCAUGUUGUUAAUUAAUUUGAAGCGUGUUAAGCUCAGACGUUUUAAAAACUGUGAGAAAUUACCUCCUUUGGGAAAGUUACCAUUCCUUGAAAUCCUUGAAUUGGAAGAAAUGGAACGCCUGAAAAAGUUGGGCGUUGAGUUUUUUGGAAUAGAAACUUCAAGUCAACAAGAGAUUUCGUCAUCAGUCACCGUCUUCCCCAAAUUGACGACAAUUAAAUUAGGUUCCUUGAAGGAGUUGGAGGAGUGGGAUGAUGGAAUGAACAAAAAUGGAGAAGAAAAUGUUACCAAUUUUACAAUCCUGCCAUGUCUUCGUUCUCUCUAUAUUUGGCAUUGCCCAAAGUUGAAGUUGGAGGCGUUACCAGAUUACCUUCUCCAGAAGAUGCCUGCAUUUCAAGGCUGCUUAACAAAAGAGGAAAGGAGGGAAAAGGCCAAACAAAUCUUACAUCUCUAACCAUCAAAUAUUGGUACUGAGCAUGUGCAAGGAUGAGACACCAACAGAUUCCAUGGGAUUAGGUAAUUUCUUCUGUUUCUUUAUUAUCCUUAUUUUUAUCCUUUUCUUUUUAUUUCAUCUGUGAAUUAGUCAGCCACAAUGAUAAUUACAUAUCUUGAAAUGGAAUGUCUUUUCUUUAUUUGUAGCUCAUAGGCAAAAUCUCCUUGGUGAAUCAAAGCAAUUGCGUCUUCAUGUGCAAAUCCAUCACUGCCAUUAUGUUAUAUCCUUCAAUGUACGUGUAUAAAUAUUAUACUAGAGUAGAAUCUCUAUAUUCAGUUUGGACUGAAAAUAAUGAACUAGGGCUAUGUUUUGCAGGAAUCUUUCUGCUGCAACUUAAUCUUCAAUGUUAGUUCUUACAUUUAAAAGAGAAUGCGCAAGUUCAAGGCACCUUACACACUGAAAUUCGAGUUAAAGACUCAAUGGGUCAAUGCAAUAUAGUCAGUUACAGUCAAAGCCAUUUUUAACUAGUUGCAGAUUUCUUGUUUCUUUAUUCCAUUUUCUUGCUUCACUCAUACCUUAGCUAUUUCAUUGCUUUCAUUUGAAAUGCGUGUGUGUGUGUGUAGGGCUUUCGAACCUUGGAACAAUUGUUACAAUUCUGUAAGAAAUGCCAUACAUUCAUCGAUCAAAUGACUAUAGCAUAAAUAUCCAUUCUCACUUUUGAGUUAUACCAAAGUGAGUGUCCUACUAUUUUAUUCGUUCCUUUACAGUUUAAUUAUUGCAUCUAUUAUUUAUCCCUUUCUCUAAUGAUACGAUGGUUUUAAACAACUUUCCACUGGAUUUUUAAAU